rnacentral:rRNA from 1 species
CUCAAUGAAAUUCAAUAGCCGCAAUAUUUUUGUGCUAAGGUAGCAUAAUCAUUUGUUUUUUAAUUAAAAACUAGAACGAAAGAUUUAACAUUUUUAUUUCUAUCUCACAUAUAUAAAUUAAACUUAUUUUAAAUAUAAAAAAAUAUUUAUUAUUUAAAAAGACGACAAGACCCUAUCGAACUUAACUAAAGUUUAACUGGGGUAGUUAAUUAAAUACAAUUUUAAUUCAAUUAAAAAAAAAUCUAAUAUAAUUAAAUAAUUAAGUUACCGUAGGGAUAACAGCGCAAUAAUUUUUUCAAGAUCUUAUUUAAAAAAUCAUUUACGACCUCGAUGUUGAAUUAAUAAUCUAUUAAAUGCAAUAAUUUAAUAAUGAAAGUC